UGGCUCAGAGGUUAAAGCGUCUGCCUGCAAAGCAGGAGACCUGGGUUUGAUCCCUG
rnacentral:tRNA from 1 species